rnacentral:rRNA from 1 species
GACGAACGCUGGCGGCGUGCCUAAUACAUGCAAGUAGAACGCACAGUUUAUACCGUAGCUUGCUACACCAUAGACUGUGAGUUGCGAACGGGUGAGUAACGCGUAGGUAACCUGCCUGGUAGCGGGGGAUAACUAUUGGAAACGAUAGCUAAUACCGCAUAAUAUUUAUUAUUGCAUGAUAAUUAAUUGAAAGGUGCAAUUGCACCACUACCAGAUGGACCUGCGUUGUAUUAGCUAGUAGGUGAGGUAACGGCUCACCUAGGCGACGAUACAUAGCCGACCUGAGAGGGGGAGCGGCCACACUGGGACUGAGACACGGCCCAGACGCCUACGGGAGGCAGCAGUAGGGAAUCUUCGGCAAUGGACGAAAGUCUGACCGAGCAACGCCGCGUGAGUGAAGAAGGUUGUCGGAUCGUAAAGCUCGGUUGUAAGAGAAGAACGGGUGUGAGAGUGGAAAGUUCACACUGUGACGGUAGCUGACCAGAAAGGGACGGCUAACUACGUG